GCCCCGAUAGUGUAGUGGCCUAUCAUCCGAGUCUGUCGAGCUCGGGACACGGGUUCAAAUCCCGUUCGGGGCG
rfam:Thermoplasmatales archaeon I-plasma AMDT3_IPLC00002, whole genome shotgun sequence.